rnacentral:rRNA from 1 species
UUGAAAGGGGAAACGAUUGAAGUCAGUCGUGCUAGUGAGAAAUCAACUUGGGGGGUUUUGGGUUCGAAAGUUGCGGUAGGGUUAAACCACCUUUCUCUUGAACUCUGAGCUUUUCGGGUGUACUUUCUCUUUGGCAGGUCAGCGUCGAUUUUGGGGGUUGUAAAAUAACUGGGGAAAUGUAGCUCCCUUCGGGGAGUGUUAUAGACCCUGGGGGAUGCAGCCCGCGGGAUCGAGGAUUGCAGCAAAUGCUUUUGGCUUGUCGCCUAUCCGCUGGACGUUACCCCGCUUGUGACAACAUUCUUGACACUUUGUGGGACUGACAGUCAUCAGUAAA